AUUGAACGCUGGCGGCAUGCUUUACACAUGCAAGUCGAACGGUAACAGGCCGCAAGGUGCUGACGAGUGGCGAACGGGUGAGUAAUGCAUCGGAACGUGCCCAGUCGUGGGGGAUAACUACUCGAAAGAGUAGCUAAUACCGCAUACGAUCUAUGGACGAAAGCGGGGGACCGUAAGGCCUCGCGCGAUUGGAGCGGCCGAUGUCAGAUUAGGUAGUUGGUGGGGUAAAGGCUCACCAAGCCAACGAUCUGUAGCUGGUCUGAGAGGACGACCAGCCACACUGGGACUGAGACACGGCCCAGACUCCUACGGGAGGCAGCAGUGGGGAAUUUUGGACAAUGGGCGCAAGCCUGAUCCAGCAAUGCCGCGUGCAGGAAGAAGGCCUUCGGGUUGUAAACUGCUUUUGUACGGAACGAAACGGCUCUGGUUAAUACCCGGGGGUAAUGACGGUACCGGAAGAAUAAGCACCGGCUAACUACGUG
rnacentral:rRNA from 1 species